GUAGGUGAACCUGCGGAAGGAUCAUUACCGAGUGCGGGCCCUCGUGGCCCAACCUCCCACCCUUGUCUCUAUACACCUGUUGCUUUGGCGGGCCCACCGGGGUCACCUGGUCGCCGGGGGACAAUCUGUCCCCGGGCCCGCGCCCGCCGAAGCGCUCUGUGAACCCUGAUGAAGAUGGGCUGUCUGAGUACUAUGAAAAUUGUCAAAACUUUCAACAAUGGAUCUCUUGGUUCCGGCAUCGAUGAAGAACGCAGCGAAAUGCGAUAAGUAAUGUGAAUUGCAGAAUUCCGUGAAUCAUCGAAUCUUUGAACGCACAUUGCGCCCCCUGGCAUUCCGGGGGGCAUGCCUGUCCGAGCGUCAUUUCUGCCCUCAAGCACGGCUUGUGUGUUGGGUGCGGUCCCCCCGGGGGACCUGCCCGAAAGGCAGCGGCGACGUCCGUCUGGUCCUCGAGCGUAUGGGGCUUUGUCACUCGCUCGGGAAGGGCUGGCGGGGGUUGGUCACCACCAAAAUUUUACCACGGUUGACCUCGGAUCAGGUAGGAGUUACCCGCUGAACUUAAGCAUAUCAAUAAGCGG
rnacentral:rRNA from 1 species